CGUUGCUUACGCUCCCAACUCCUCACGCUCACUCUCCCGAGGGCCCAGCGACGACGCCGACUUCAGCGCAUCAGCGCAUCAGCUUCGAUAUCGAAUCCUCCUUCAGCCAACAACACGGUCUCCAGCACCUUCAGCGUGUAAGCUCUCUCUCUCUCUCUCUCUGUGAUUGACGAUUGACAAAAGAGGGGCUUUGUAAUCGACAAUUAACGUCGUAACCACGAUCCAUUACCCGGCCAAAGGACCAACGAAGUUUCUUGUUGUGGGUGGUGGUUGCCGGGUAGUGUGGCAGUUGCUUCUCCCUCCUUUCGACGCUACCUUCAUAUCUUGCACAAAAAAGGAAUUGACUUUCCUCCGCUCGAUUCUCUCCGCGCUGUUCUUGCGGGGCUCGGAAGACGAGUUAUCUGCAUUCCGCGUCCAUCUUGAAUCGGACGCGGGCUCUCGUUUGGUACGUCUUUCUUGCUCGUCGGCGUAAUUCUUGAAAAAAGCCGGCUUUUUUCGGGAGAUUCAUCGAUCGGCGGUUAGCUCUGUAUGUUUUCUUCAUCGUUCGGGCCGGUGAAUGCAGGGCGAGAAAUGGGAAAUUCGUGAAUCUCGAGUUCCCCGGAACCCGAGGACAAAUGGGUAGUCCAUGGAGCCGAGUUAGUUUCGAAUGUCGCAGAGAAUUCUUGAUUUCAUCUCCCUCGUUCUCUUGGCAAAGAAGCUUGUUUUCACUUUCCUCUGUCGUCAUCUCUAGCUCGAUUCUUCUCCUCAUCUGGGUCUGUUCCUGCUUGUGGGUAGUCUGUCCGUCUCUGAUGCUUCUGCAGAUUUGUGUAGAUUGCAUAGUAACGGACUGAUGUUGAUCCUGAUAAAGGGGAAAACGCCCCUGAUAGUGAUACAGGGGAGAAAACCUUUUUGCUGUAGUUGAAAGGUGGUACUGGCUGCUUUCUUUAACUGCGGCCUGCAAAUAAAAUAGCCGAUGCAACUGCCGAGAGGGAAUCAGUAGUGUUUGGAGUGAACUACGUAAAUCCCAUCACGAAGCUUUGCAUCAUCAGAGGUUCUAGGGAGGAGCACCAGAAGGUCUGGGCUGCGAUCACCUUGGUCACGAGCGUCGGAAUUUGCUCGGUGCUGUUUAAUUUUCUCAACUUGAGCGGUGAGUCGAACGAGUGUGGUGCGGGAUAGAAUGUUUGGGGAUACUGUUACUACUGGAAGCAUCGCAUGGAAUCCUGCACAAGACUUAUGCAUUGAUGAGGAUGAUGUGGCCACACAAUUUGACAUCGAUGGUUCGACAGAAUUUACUGAUGAUAAUGUAGAAGGCGACGUGGGUGAAAAUGACAGUGAACAUCGAAGUGAUAAAAGAAUGUCGCAGAGUUCGGUGAGGAGGCAAUCUCAAAGAAAGAAGCAAAAGAAAUUGAGUAUGACUGAUAAGCUAGUGACGCAAAUGGAGAGAAUUUGUUCAGCUAUUGAAAGUAGAAGUUAUGCCAAAGAGUUUGAUCCUUACAAGGAACUUAUAGAGGCAUUGAAAGCUAUACCCGAGGUUAAACAAAACCAAGAGUUAUAUUUUUUUGCACUAGAUUAUUUUUCAGAAAAGAAAGAUAAUAGACAAAUCUUCAUGAACUUGGAUGGUGAUCAAGAAAAAGUCACAUGGCUCAAGUAUAAGUUUGCACAACGUAAUCAUCACUAGAAUAUUUAUUAUUAUUUUUUUUCAUAUGUAACGUUAUUGUAAUAUGAUACAUAUUUGCACUACUUAUUUGUAUUAGUUAGCGAGACAUAUUUAUGCUAUAUUGUCAAACUUGUUUUUAA